rnacentral:sRNA from 1 species
AGAUAGAUAGAUAGAGAGGGAUGGAUGGAUGGACAGAUGGACAGGCAGAUAAAUGGAUAGACAGACAUGUGUAUAAGAAGAUAUUGGUUUAAAAUAUUGUGAAAUGCAUAUGAAUCUUCAAAAAUUGUCAAUUUUUAUUUUUUCAACAUAAGGUUCCUUAUGGAAAAGGUAGCAUGGAGACUUCUUUAACACUGAGAACCUUAGAACUGAAUAGACACAAAAUCACAAGGAACUUUAAAUUGUAAUGUGAUUUCCUGACAUAGAAUCAGAAACCUUCACACACUUCUGUGAAGCCAGACAUCUUUGAAGGAUACAGAGGACACACAGCUAUCAAUAUAUAGGACACUUACUUGUCUUGGUUAAUAUGACUCUUUUUGACCUGUGUCAGCUCUUUGAAAGUCUGUCCAAAGUGAGCAGUGGGGUGAACAAUGGCGGCAGCAUCUUUAGGUAUCUGGAUCCAACCAUCAGGAGCUCUAAGCACUGACCCGCAAUGGCUGCCUGCCUCAGUUUGCACACCAGAUGGAUGCCAAUGCUGGUCUCUGUCAGGAAAGUACACAGAUUUCCUAAUGGUGCUUUCAACAUUAGUUCCUAUUAGAGUAUGUAACUGAAGAGGUAUCAGAGAUAACUCUUAUGUUUCUUUAACGUGAUAGAUGUUCCUCAUAUUUUUCUAAAUUUAGAAAUAUCUUGAACAUUGUGCCAUGUAAAGUAUUGAUUAUCGUUCAUGUGCAUGUUUUAACUUCUGCGAUUUAUUUAUUGACUUUUAAAGCUUCUAAUUUCAACACUAACUUCCAAACGGCAACAGAAGAAAAGUAAAACAACAUUAGGGGCAGAAGAAUAAUUUGGAUCAUGUGCGUUGGAAUAGAGGUACUGAACAGAACCACUCGAGUGGGAAGGGCCCAGGUCACCAUCAAGGAGACUAAAGCUGGGGUAGGAAGAGCAUGAGAAAGUCUCAGAGGUAUUGGGCCUGUACUGGGAAGAUCUUUUCAGAUACCCCUGGAAUGCUCUGAACUCACAGGCGGGGGAUUUACAAGUGGGACUCUUUAUCCUGGUAGCUAGAUGUGGAAAUGGCACUUCCAAGUCCUAUUUGGGGAUGGCUUGCCCAGGGAGCUUGGCUCAGUGGAGUGUAGAAUGAAUGCCAACAUUAACAAUAAUUCUGGUGGAAGUGCAAAUGUCUGCAUCAAGUUCUCAAAAAAUCCUUUUAUGGUCCAUCUGUUUGGACACACCCUGGUUCCAAACCUUGUUUUGCCUCAGGACCCACAUUCUUAGAAACUUGCUAGCUUGCUGAAGACUUGGCCUGCUUCUGCCUUCUUUUCUGCAACACUGACUGGAUGCUAAGAUUCACUCUUUGGCACUGUGACAUUUGAGCCUUUGCAAAAUAUAUUAUGUUUAUUCACGCGC